UCUCCGAGAUAUUUUCCAUUUCGGUAGAGAUUUCGCUUUUCUUUCUAAGUAUCCGCUCUUCAUUUCAUUUUGUCGUGUUGAAGUACAUGUUUUUAAUCAAAUCCUUCUCCCCCACCCACCCCCAAGUAUUUCAAAAAUAAACAGGCUUCUCCAUUUACAUGUCAGCUUCCAACACACUUCGAAACAAAGUUGCAAGAGAGGAACACUGAACUUUUCACUGCUGCAGCAGGCAGGGGAGGGCUGCAAUCUUACAUUUGGGAACGGGCUCAGUUCCAAUGGAGGAGACGGGUGCAUGGUGGAAUAUUGGGUUGGGGGAUCACACCAUUGGGGGAGCAGACCCAACGGGUCUGCACUUGGUCUAGUAAAAUUAUAAAAGGUCUGGACAAGCUAGAUGCAGGAAAAAUGUUCCUAAUGGUGGGCAAGUCCAGAACCAGGGGCCACAGUCUUAGAAUAAAGGGGAGGCCAUUUAAGACUGAGGUGAGAAAAAACUUUUUCACCCAGAGUUGUGAAUUUGUGGAAUUCCCUGCCACAGAGGGCAGUGGAGGCCAAGUCACUGGAUGGAUUUAAGAGAGAGUUAGAUAGAGAUCUAGGGGCUAGUGGAAUCAAGGGAUAUGGGGAGAAGGCAGGCACGGGUUAUUGAUUGGGGAUGAUCAGCCAUGAUCACAAUGAAUGGCGGUGCUGGCUCAAAAGGCUGAAUGGCCUCCUCCUGCACCUAUUUUCUAUGUUUCUAUGUCACCUAUCCAUGUUCUCCAGAGAUGCUGACUUUGACCCACUGAGUUACUCCAGCACUGUCUUUUGAACGAGUAUCCAAAUAUCUUUACAAAUCUCUACAACAGUCUGUCUAGUCCAAAGCUCAAUGAAUGGCCACUCAACACAUCACACACAGAUUCCUUUCACCUGAAAGUCCUUCAUAAGAAUUCAUACUGAACAAGCUUUGAUUAGGGUAGCUAACAUUAACCAUUUCUCACAGAGAGUCACCACCAGUCUGUGGAAUUCUCUGCCUCAGAGGGCGGUGGAGACAGGUUCUCUGGAUGCUUUCAGAGAGAGCUAGAUAGGGCUCUUAAAAAUAGCGGAGUCAGGGCAUAUGAUUUCUAGAGCCACUUCCUUAAGUACCCUGGGAUGCAGACUAUCAGGUCCUGGGGAUUUAUUAGCCUUCAGUCCCAUCAGUCUAUCCAACACUAUUUCCAGCCUAAUGUGGAUUUCCUUCAGUUCCUCCGUCACCCCAGAUCCUUUGGCCACUACUGUAUCAGCAAGAUUGUUUGUGUCCUCCUUAGUGAAGGUAGAUCCAAAGUACCUGUUCAACUCAUCUGCCAUUUCCUUGUUCCACACAAUAAAUUCACCUUUUUCAGUCUUCAAUGGUCCAACUUUGGUCUUAACUAUUUUUUAACCUUAUCCCUGAACCCUUAACCUUGACCCUUAACCCUUAAAUGUAACUUUAACCCUUAACCUUGACCCUUAACCCUAACCCUUAAUCCACAUGGAUAGCGCUGGAGGAUCAAACUUUGGUCACAGCUGUGCCUCUGUUCCGCCCUGGGCCAGCUUAGAUUUUUUUGCAUCAUAAUCCACUGAUCAGAGCUGCCACCAAAGCAAUGGGUCUGUGUUGCCAAUACCAGAAUGAUCAGAAUCUAAAGAGUUAAGAGGACCCUGUCGACCAAGCUAAACAAGGCUGGUUGUUUUAUCUCGCUCCUGCCGCUCAGCUCCUCCCUACUGCAGUCAUUUGACAAAAAAAUUAUCUUCCACCCUUCAGGUUUGGAGAAGCGAGAGGGAGAGGGAGGACACGGUCACAGAAAGUGUUGCUGCCAUGUCAGACAAGAAGGAUCAGGAGAACUUGCAGUUGGCGGUGAAGGUGCCUGUGCAUCCCUCCGGAGCCGGCUGCUCAGAGCUGAGGUCGGCCAUGCUGAAGUGAUCUUUCCAAUUCUGCAAUGACCAGAAUCGUUCUAUCUCCUUCUUCCAGUUUCCCAUUUGUUUCCAUGUGGUUCCACCCACAGCAGCCAUCUGCUUGGUAAAUAAACCACAGCAGAACAAUCACACUGACCCGUUUCAUUUGGAUUUAAUUAUUGGUGGAGUGGUGUGCUCGGUCCUCAACCUUUUACCUAGAUGCUGCCUUUUUUGUUUUAGAAUAUAUUGGAAUACAAAGAUGUAACUAACUUGUCAAGCCUCUUGGAUUGACAAGUUAGGGACCUUCCACAUUUGUAAAACCAGUUGUUUUUCUCUCCACAAGAAGUCAUUCUUCACCGAUUCACCAUUAAUGCAGCCUCUCCCUCAUCAGAAAGUGACAUGGUGGUAAAUUCUUCAAUCUUCCACCCCACCACCGAUGAAAACAAAAAAUAACUGCAGGCGCUGGAAGUUUGAAACAAAGUGCUGGAACGUCUCUUCAGGUCAGGCAGCAUCCAAGGACAGAAAAACCUUUCCGGUCAAAAGCCCUUCACCAGCUUCACAUUUCCAACAUUGGCAUUUUUCAUGUUUAUUGGAUUUAAGGCACUGCCCUCUGUUAAAGCUUCUAAUAAAUACAUGUUCAUGCAU